CCGAGUUUACAACUCACCAACCCCUGUGAACCUACCUAUACUGUUGCUUCGGCGGGAACAGAUGGCCCCGUGAAACGGGCCACCCCCGCCAGAGGACCCCCUAACUAUGUUUUUUAAUAAUGUUUCUCUGAGUAAACCAAGCAAAUCAAUUAAAACUUUCAACAAUGGAUCUCUUGGCUCUGGCAUCGAUGAAGAACGCAGCGAAAUGCGAUACGUAAUGUGAAUUGCAGAAUUCAGUGAAUCAUCGAAUCUUUGAACGCACAUUGCGCCCGCCAGUAUUCUGGCGGGCAUGCCUGUCCGAGCGUCAUUACAACCCUCAGGCCCCCGGGCCUGGCGUUGGGGAUCGGCGGAGAGCCCCCUGCGGGCAACACGCCGUCCCCCAAAUUCAGUGGCGGUCUCGCUGCAGCCUCCAUUGCGUAGUAGCUAACACCUCGCAACUGGAACGCCGCGUGGCCACGCCGUAAAACCCCCAACUUCUGAAUCAACAGGGAUUGCCCUAGUAACGGCGAGUGAAGCGGCAACAGCUCAAAUUUGAAAUCUGGCUCUCGGGCCCGAGUUGUAAUUUGUAGAGGAUGCUUUUGGCGCGGUGCCUUCCGAGUUCCCUGGAACGGGACGCCAUAGAGGGUGAGAGCCCCGUCUGGUUGGAUGCCAAACCUCUGUAAAGCUCCUUCGACGAGUCGAGUAGUUUGGGAAUGCUGCUCUAAAUGGGAGGUAUAUGUCUUCUAAAGCUAAAUACCGGCCAGAGACCGAUAGCGCACAAGUAGAGUGAUCGAAAGAUGAAAAGAACUUUGAAAAGAGAGUUAAAAAGUACGUGAAAUUGUUGAAAGGGAAGCGCUUGUGACCAGACUUGGGCUUGGUUGAUCAUCCAGGGUUCUCCCUGGUGCACUCUUCCGGCCUAGGCCAGCAUCAGUUCGCCUCGGGGGAUAAAGGCGCCGGGAAUGUGGCUCCCUCCGGGGAGUGUUAU
rnacentral:rRNA from 1 species